rfam:Triticum aestivum genome assembly, contig: Triticum_aestivum_CS42_TGACv1_scaffold_146554_2BS
CAACAGGCUUUUUUAAAAGCCACUGGGGAACUAAAAACACAGAACU